CUUUAAAGCACAUUUGAAACACAUUCUUUUCCUCAAAGAAUUAUGGGCAUUGUAGUUUACCCCUCAAAGAGUUACAAUUCCAGUAACCCUUAACAAAGUGCAGUGCCCAGAAUUCUUUGAGGGGGCAAAUGUGCUUCAAAUGUGAUUUAAAGGU